rnacentral:rRNA from 1 species
AGAGUUUGAUCAUGGCUCAGAUUGAACGCUGGCGGCAGGCCUAACACAUGCAAGUCGAGCGGUAGCACAGAGAGCUUGCUCUCGGGUGACGAGCGGCGGACGGGUGAGUAAUGUCUGGGAAACUGCCUGAUGGAGGGGGAUAACUACUGGAAACGGUAGCUAAUACCGCAUAAUGUCGCAAGACCAAAGUGGGGGACCUUCGGGCCUCAUGCCAUCAGAUGUGCCCAGAUGGGAUUAGCUAGUAGGUGGGGUAACGGCUCACCUAGGCGACGAUCCCUAGCUGGUCUGAGAGGAUGACCAGCCACACUGGAACUGAGACACGGUCCAGACUCCUACGGGAGGCAGCAGUGGGGAAUAUUGCACAAUGGGCGCAAGCCUGAUGCAGCCAUGCCGCGUGUGUGAAGAAGGCCUUCGGGUUGUAAAGCACUUUCAGCGGGGAGGAAGGCGUUAAGGUUAAUAACCUCAUCGAUUGACGUUACCCGCAGAAGAAGCACCGGCUAACUCCGUGCCAGCAGCCGCGGUAAUACGGAGGGUGCAAGCGUUAAUCGGAAUUACUGGGCGUAAAGCGCACGCAGGCGGUCUGUCAAGUCGGAUGUGAAAUCCCCGGGCUCAACCUGGGAACUGCAUUCGAAACUGGCAGGCUAGAGUCUUGUAGAGGGGGGUAGAAUUCCAGGUGUAGCGGUGAAAUGCGUAGAGAUCUGGAGGAAUACCGGUGGCGAAGGCGGCCCCCUGGACAAAGACUGACGCUCAGGUGCGAAAGCGUGGGGAGCAAACAGGAUUAGAUACCCUGGUAGUCCACGCCGUAAACGAUGUCGAUUUGGAGGUUGUGCCCUUGAGGCGUGGCUUCCGGAGCUAACGCGUUAAAUCGACCGCCUGGGGAGUACGGCCGCAAGGUUAAAACUCAAAUGAAUUGACGGGGGCCCGCACAAGCGGUGGAGCAUGUGGUUUAAUUCGAUGCAACGCGAAGAACCUUACCUGGUCUUGACAUCCAUAGAACUUAGCAGAGAUGCUUUGGUGCCUUCGGGAACUGUGAGACAGGUGCUGCAUGGCUGUCGUCAGCUCGUGUUGUGAAAUGUUGGGUUAAGUCCCGCAACGAGCGCAACCCUUAUCCUUUGUUGCCAGCGGUCCGGCCGGGAACUCAAAGGAGACUGCCAGUGAUAAACUGGAGGAAGGUGGGGAUGACGUCAAGUCAUCAUGGCCCUUACGACCAGGGCUACACACGUGCUACAAUGGCAUAUACAAAGAGAAGCGACCUCGCGAGAGCAAGCGGACCUCAUAAAGUAUGUCGUAGUCCGGAUUGGAGUCUGCAACUCGACUCCAUGAAGUCGGAAUCGCUAGUAAUCGUAGAUCAGAAUGCUACGGUGAAUACGUUCCCGGGCCUUGUACACACCGCCCGUCACACCAUGGGAGUGGGUUGCAAAAGAAGUAGGUAGCUUAACCUUCGGGAGGGCGCUUACCACUUUGUGAUUCAUGACUGGGGUGAAGUCGUAACAAGGUAACCGUAGGGGAACCUGCGGUUGGAUCACCU